rnacentral:rRNA from 1 species
AGCGAACGCUGGCGGCAGGCCUAACACAUGCAAGUCGAACGGAUCCUUCGGGAUUAGUGGCGGACGGGUGAGUAACACGUGGGAACGUGCCUUUUGGUUCGGAACAACUCAGGGAAACUUGAGCUAAUACCGGAUAAGCCCUUCGGGGAAGGAUUAUCGCCAUUAGAGCGGCCCGCGUCUGAUUAGCUAGUUGGUGAGGUAAAGGCUCACCAAGGCUACGAUCAGUAGCUGGUCUGAGAGGAUGAUCAGCCACAUUGGGACUGAGACACGGCCCAAACUCCUACGGGAGGCAGCAGUGGGGAAUCUUGCGCAAUGGGCGAAAGCCUGACGCAGCCAUGCCGCGUGAAUGAUGAAGGUCUUAGGAUUGUAAAAUUCUUUUCAGCAGGGACGAUAAUGACGGUACCUGCAAGAAGAAGCCCCCGGCUAACUUCGUGCCAGCAGCCGCGGUAAC